rnacentral:tRNA from 1 species
GCAUUGGUGGUUCAGUGGUAGAAUUCUUGCUUUCCAUGAGGGAGACCCCAGGUUCAAUUCCCAGCCAGUGUA